GUGCUUGCAUCAGCAGCACAUAUACUAAAAUUGAAAACAAAAACAGAUUAGCACAGCCCUAAACAAGAAUGAAAUGUAAAUUUGUGAAGUGUUCCAUUAAAAA
ensembl:snRNA U6 U6 spliceosomal RNA